rnacentral:rRNA from 1 species
GUGGGGAAUAUUGGACAAUGGGCGGAAGCCUGAUCCAGCCAUGCCGCGUGUGUGAAGAAGGCCUUUUGGUUGUAAAGCACUUUAAGCGAGGAGGAGGCUCCUUUAGUUAAUACCUAAAGUGAGUGGACGUUACUCGCAGAAUAAGCACCGGCUAACUCUGUGCCAGCAGCCGCGGUAAUACAGAGGGUGCGAGCGUUAAUCGGAUUUACUGGGCGUAAAGCGUGCGUAGGCGGCUUUUUAAGUCGGAUGUGAAAUCCCUGAGCUUAACUUAGGAAUUGCAUUCGAUACUGGAAAGCUAGAGUAUGGGAGAGGAUGGUAGAAUUCCAGGUGUAGCGGUGAAAUGCGUAGAGAUCUGGAGGAAUACCGAUGGCGAAGGCAGCCAUCUGGCCUAAUACUGACGCUGAGGUACGAAAGCAUGGGGAGCAAACAGGAUUAGAAACCCGGGUAGUCC